rnacentral:rRNA from 1 species
CGUUUGAGUCUGCGAUUUCCGAAUGGGGAAACCCAACUGCAUAAGCAGUUACUGUUAACUGAAUACAUAGGUUAACAGAGCAAACCGGGGGAACUGAAACAUCUAAGUACCCCGAGGAGAAGAAAUCAACCGAGAUUCCGGUAGUAGCGGCGAGCGAACCUGGAUUAGCCCUUAAGCACUCGGUGAAGUAGGUGAACAAGCUGGAAAGCUUGGCGAUACAGGGUGAUAGCCCCGUAACCGACGCUUCAUCGAGCGUGAAAUCGAGUAGGGCGGGACACGUGAUAUCCUGUCUGAAUAUGGGGGGACCAUCCUCCAAGGCUAAAUACUCCUGACUGACCGAUAGUGAACCAGUACCGUGAGGGAAAGGCGAAAAGAACCCCUGUGAGGGGAGUGAAAUAGAACCUGAAACCGUGUACGUACAAGCAGUAGGAGCACCUUCGUGGUGUGACUGCGUACCUUUUGUAUAAUGGGUCAGCGACUUAUAUUCAGUGGCAAGGUUAACCGUAUAGGGGAGCCGUAGCGAAAGCGAGUCUUAACUGGGCGCUCAGUCUCUGGAUAUAGACCCGAAACCGGGUGAUCUAGCCAUGGGCAGGUUGAAGGUUGAGUAACAUCAACUGGAGGACCGAACCGACUAAUGUUGAAAAAUUAGCGGAUGACUUGUGGCUAGGGGUGAAAGGCCAAUCAAACUCGGAGAUAGCUGGUUCUCCCCGAAAGCUAUUUAGGUAGCGCCUCGGACGAAUACUACUGGGGGUAGAGCACUGUUAAGGCUAGGGGGUCAUCCCGACUUACCAACCCUUUGCAAACUCCGAAUACCAGUAAGUACUAUCCGGGAGACACACGGCGGGUGCUAACGUCCGUCGUGGAGAGGGAAACAACCCAGACCGCCAGCUAAGGUCCCAAAGUAUUGCUAAGUGGGAAACGAUGUGGGAAGGCUCAGACAGCUAGGAUGUUGGCUUAGAAGCAGCCAUCAUUUAAAGAAAGCGUAAUAGCUCACUAGUCGAGUCGGCCUGCGCGGAAGAUGUAACGGGGCUAAGCAAUACACCGAAGCUGCGGCAAUAUCUUUUAGAUAUUGGGUAGGGGAGCGUUCUGUAAGCCGUUGAAGGUGAAUCGUAAGGUUUGCUGGAGGUAUCAGAAGUGCGAAUGCUGACAUGAGUAACGACAAAGGGGGUGAAAAACCUCCUCGCCGGAAGACCAAGGGUUCCUGUCCAACGUUAAUCGGGGCAGGGUGAGUCGACCCCUAAGGUGAGGCCGAAAGGCGUAAUCGAUGGGAAACGGGUUAAUAUUCCCGUACUUCUGACUAUUGCGAUGGGGGGACGGAGAAGGCUAGGUGGGCCAGGCGACGGUUGUCCUGGUUCAAGUGCGUAGGCUUGAGAGUUAGGUAAAUCCGGCUCUCUUUAAGGCUGAGACACGACGUCGAGCUGCUACGGCAGUGAAGUCAUUGAUGCCAUGCUUCCAGGAAAAGCCUCUAAGCUUCAGAUAGUCAGGAAUCGUACCCCAAACCGACACAGGUGGUCGGGUAGAGAAUACCAAGGCGCUUGAGAGAACUCGGGUGAAGGAACUAGGCAAAAUGGUACCGUAACUUCGGGAGAAGGUACGCUCUUGAUGGUGAAGUCCCUCGCGGAUGGAGCUGACGAGAGUCGCAGAUACCAGGUGGCUGCAACUGUUUAUUAAAAACACAGCACUGUGCAAAAUCGCAAGAUGACGUAUACGGUGUGACGCCUGCCCGGUGCCGGAAGGUUAAUUGAUGGGGUUAGCGCAAGCGAAGCUCUUGAUCGAAGCCCCGGUAAACGGCGGCCGUAACUAUAACGGUCCUAAGGUAGCGAAAUUCCUUGUCGGGUAAGUUCCGACCUGCACGAAUGGCGUAAUGAUGGCCACGCUGUCUCCACCCGAGACUCAGUGAAAUUGAAAUCGCUGUGAAGAUGCAGUGUACCCGCGGCUAGACGGAAAGACCCCGUGAACCUUUACUACAGCUUGGCACUGAACAUUGAACCUACAUGUGUAGGAUAGGUGGGAGGCUAUGAAGACGUGACGCCAGUUGCGUUGGAGCCGUCCUUGAAAUACCACCCUUGUAUGUUUGAUGUUCUAACUUAGACCCAUUAUCUGGGUUGAGGACAGUGCCUGGUGGGUAGUUUGACUGGGGCGGUCUCCUCCCAAAGAGUAACGGAGGAGCACGAAGGUGGGCUAAUCACGGUUGGACAUCGUGAGGUUAGUGCAAUGGCAUAAGCCCGCUUAACUGCGAGAAUGACGGUUCGAGCAGGUGCGAAAGCAGGUCAUAGUGAUCCGGUGGUUCUGUAUGGAAGGGCCAUCGCUCAACGGAUAAAAGGUACUCCGGGGAUAACAGGCUGAUACCGCCCAAGAGUUCAUAUCGACGGCGGUGUUUGGCACCUCGAUGUCGGCUCAUCACAUCCUGGGGCUGAAGUCGGUCCCAAGGGUAUGGCUGUUCGCCAUUUAAAGUGGUACGCGAGCUGGGUUUAGAACGUCGUGAGACAGUUCGGUCCCUAUCUGCCGUGGGCGUUGGAAGAUUGAAGGGGGCUGCUCCUAGUACGAGAGGACCGGAGUGGACGAACCUCUGGUGUUCGGGUUGUGUCGCCAGACGCAUUGCCCGGUAGCUAAGUUCGGAAUUGAUAAGCGCUGAAAGCAUCUAAGCGCGAAGCGAGCCCUGAGAUGAGUCUUCCC